GCCUGGCUCGCUCAGUCAGUAGAGCAGAUGACUCCUGAUCUUGGGGUUGUGAGUUCAAGCCCCACACUGGGCA
rnacentral:tRNA from 1 species